CUUAAUCUUAGGUAGCAUUCAUGUAUGAAAAAAAAAUCUCCUUUUUACUUUUUUUUUUCUUUGCAGCUAUCAUGCCAAGAUUGGCGUGGAUUGGUCAUUAUUAUCUGCAAUGAUUCUGUACUCCAAAAAAGAAGACACACCCUACAAAUAGACAACUUUAGAGUUUAAACUUAUCAAUUUUUAUGGUAUAUAAAGAAGUCAACAUCUUAAUCAUUUGGUUAUUUUUUUUCAUUCUUUUCUGUUUUUCUCCUUAUAGACAUCUGGUG
rnacentral:lncRNA from 1 species